UGGCUAUGAGGAUAAAAAACUUGCUAUGACAAAUUCUGAUUCGUAAUACGCUAUUCUGAGCCAUGA
ensembl:snoRNA